UUGGANAUGGGCGAAGCCUGAUCCAGCCAUNCCCGCGUGUGUGAAGAAGGUCUUCGGAUUGUAAAGCACUUUAAGUUGGGAGGAAGGGCAGUAAGUUAAUACCUUGCUGUUUUGACGUUACCAACAGAAUAAGCACCGGCUAACUUCGUGCCAGCAGCCGCGGUAAUACGAAGGGUGCAAGCGUUAAUCGGAAUUACUGGGCGUAAAGCGCGCGUAGGUGGUUCAGCAAGUUGGAGGUGAAAUCCCCGGGCUCAACCUGGGAACUGCCUCCAAAACUACUGAGCUA
rnacentral:rRNA from 1 species